CAGACAGUUAAUUAGACAGACAGACAGACAGGUGGCUCAGAAGCAGGAGUAGUGUCUCAGAGUAAUGUGUAUUGAAAGGCAGUGAGUCUAAAAGGUAUAUCAGUAUUUGCGUGAGGAAAGUUCUGGUGUUCGGGUCCUGGUGCUCGGGUUCCUGGUGCUCGGGGUCCUGGUGUUCGGGUCCCUGGUGUUCGGGUCCUGGUGUUCGGGCUCCUGGUGUUCGGGCUCCUGGUGCUCGGGCUCCUGGUGCUCGGGCUCCUGGUGCUCGGGGUCCUGGUGUUCGGGUCCUGGUGUUCGGGUCCUGGUGCUCGGGCUCCUGGUGCUCGGGGUCCUGGUGCUCGGGGUCCUGGUGCUCGGGGUCCUGGUGUUCGGGUCCUGGUGCUCGGGCUCCUGGUGUUCGGGUCCUGGUGUUCAGGUUAUGCAGAUGCUUCAGUGGAUUUUCUGAGCUCCACAUUCAGACAGUGAAAAUCACCUGCGUGUAGUUGACAAUUCUGAGGCUUUUCCUGAGUAGAAGAGUCUGAGACAGGUGUCUAGACCACCGUCUCUAUUUAUAUUGUUCCCUG
ensembl:lncRNA